CCCCUAGAUGUUCUGGGCCGCACGCGCGCUACACUGAACAGUUCAACAAGUCUUAACCUUGGCCGAUAGGUCUGGGUAAUCUUUGAACGCUGUUCGUGAUUGGGAUAGACCUUUGCAAUUAUGGGUCUUCAACGAGGAAUUCCUAGUAAACGCAAGUCAUCAGCUUGCAUUGAUUACGUCCCGGCCCUUUGUACACACCGCCCGUCGCACCUACCGAUUGAAUGGUCCGGUGAAAUCUCGGGACGGCGGCUUGGUCGCUUGCGUCCGACUGCUGAAACUUGAUUAAACCAUAUCAUUUAGAGGAAGGUGAAGUCGUAACA
rnacentral:rRNA from 1 species